rnacentral:rRNA from 1 species
GAACGGGUGAGUAACACGUGGGAAACCUACCUCUUAGCAGGGGAUAACAUUUGGAAACAGAUGCUAAUACCGUAUAACAAUGACAACCGCAUGGUUGUUAUUUAAAAGAUGGUUCUGCUAUCACUAAGAGAUGGUCCCGCGGUGCAUUAGCUAGUUGGUAAGGUAAUGGCUUACCAAGGCAAUGAUGCAUAGCCGAGUUGAGAGACUGAUCGGCCACAAUGGGACUGAGACACGGCCCAUACUCCUACGGGAGGCAGCAGUAGGGAAUCUUCCACAAUGGGCGAAAGCCUGAUGGAGCAACGCCGCGUGUGUGAUGAAGGGUUUCGGCUCGUAAAACACUGUUGUAAGAGAAGAAUGACAUUGAGAGUAACUGUUCAAUGUGUGACGGUAUCUUACCAGAAAGGAACGGCUAAAUACGUGCCAGCAGCCGCGGUAAUACGUAUGUUCCAAGCGUUAUCCGGAUUUAUUGGGCGUAAAGCGAGCGCAGACGGUUAUUUAAGUCUGAAGUGAAAGCCCUCAGCUCAACUGAGGAAUUGCUUUGGAAACUGGAUGACUUGAGUGCAGUAGAGGAAAGUGGAACUCCAUGUGUAGCGGUGAAAUGCGUAGAUAUAUGGAAGAACACCAGUGGCGAAGGCGGCUUUCUGGACUGUAACUGACGUUGAGGCUCGAAAGUGUGGGUAGCAAACAGGAUUAGAUACCCUGGUAGUCCACACCGUAAACGGUGAGUGCUAGGUGUUUGAGGGUUUCCGCCCUUAAGUGCCGCAG